AAGUCGUAACAAGGUUUCCGUAGGUGAACCUGCGGAAGGAUCAUUACCGAGUUAGGGUCCUCAAAGGCCCGAUCUCCCAACCCUUUGCUUAUUAUACCUUGUGUUGCUUCGGUAGGUCUGGCUCGUCCUACCGGAGGACCGUAAAACGUCCUCUGGAGAGUGCCUACCGAUAGCCCAAACCAAAAACUCUUGAACAAAACAUGUAUUGUCUGAGUAAACAAAAAAAUUAAAGCAAAACUUUCAACAACGGAUCUCUUGGUUCUG
rnacentral:misc_RNA from 1 species